UGGGUGAAUGUGAGGGAAUUAAAAUCAAUUGGUAAGUAAGUCAGAGUUGUGUUAAUAUAUUUAACAUUUUUCUGUUCUUUCUUUUUUGUUGAUAA